rnacentral:rRNA from 1 species
AUUGAACGCUGGCGGCAGGCCUAACACAUGCACGUCGAGCGAACGGCGGACGGGUGUGUAAUGUCUGGGAAACUGCCGGAUGGAGGGGGAUAACUACUGGAAACGGUAGCUAAUUCCGCAUAACAUCCGAUGUGACCAGAUGGGAUUAGCGCGUAGGUUGGGUAACGGCUCACCUAGGCGACGAUCCCUAGCUGGUCUGAGAGGAUGACCAGCCACACUGUAACGGAGACACGGUCCAGACUCCUACGGGAGGCAGCAGUGGGGAAUAUUGCACAAUGGGCGCAAGCCUGAUGCAGCCAUGCCGCGUGUGUGAAGAAGGCCUUCGGGUUGUAAAGCACUUUCAGCGGGGAGGCGUUACCCGCAGAAGAAGCACCGGCUAACUCCGUGCCAGCAGCCGCGGUAAUUC